UGGGGAAUUUUGGACAAUGGGGGAAACCCUGAUCCAGCCAUCCCGCGUGUGCGAUGAAGGCCUUCGGGUUGUAAAGCACUUUUGGCAGGAAAGAAACGUCAUGGGUUAAUACCCCGUGAAACUGACGGUACCUGCAGAAUAAGCACCGGCUAACUACGUGCCAGCAGCCGCGGUAAUACGUAGGGUGCAAGCGUUAAUCGGAAUUACUGGGCGUAAAGCGUGCGCAGGCGGUUCGGGAAGAAAGAUGUGAAAUCCCAGAGCUCAACUUUGGAACUGCAUUUUUAACUACCGGGCUAGAGUGUGUCAGAGGGAGGAGGAAUUCCGCGUGUAGCAGUGAAAUACGUAGAUAUGCGGAGGAACACCGAUGGCGAAGGCAGCCUCCAGGGAUAACACUGACGCUCAUGCACGAAAGCGUGGGGAGCAAACAGG
rnacentral:rRNA from 1 species